rnacentral:rRNA from 1 species
GAUGAACGCUGGCGGCGUGCCUAAUACAUGCAAGUCGAGCGAACAGACGAGGAGCUUGCUCCUCUGACGUUAGCGGCGGACGGGUGAGUAACACGUGGAUAACCUACCUAUAAGACUUGGAUAACUUCGGGAAACCGGAGCUAAUACCGGAUAAUAUAUUGAACCGCAUGGUUCAAUAGUGAAAGACGGUUUUGCUGUCACUUAUAGAUUGAUCCGCGCCGCAUUAGCUAGUUGGUAAGGUAACGGCUUACCAAGGCAACGAUGCGUAGCCGACCUGAGAGGGUGAUCGGCCACACUGGAACUGAGACACGGUCCAGACUCCUACGGGAGGCAGCAGUAGGGAAUCUUCCGCAAUGGGCGAAAGCUUGACGGAGCAACGCCGCGUGAGUGAUGAAGGUCUUCGGAUCGUAAAACUCUGUUAUUAGGGAAGAACAAAUGUGUAAGUAACUAUGCACGUCUUGACGGUACCUAAUCAGAAAGCCACGGCUAACUACGUG